rnacentral:rRNA from 1 species
AGAGUUUGAUCCUGGCUCAGGACAAACGCUGGCGGCGUGCAUAAAACAUGCAAGUCGAACGGACUUCAGUCCGCAAGGAUUGAAGUGAGUGGCGAACGGCUGAGUAACACGUAGGUGACCUGCCCCGAAGUUUGGGAUAACAACUCGAAAGAGUUGCUAAUACCGGAUGUGACCACCGAUUCAUUUCGGUGCUUAAAGUCGUAAGACGCUUUGGGAGGGGCCUGCGGCGGAUUAGCUAGUUGGUGUGGUAACGGCAUACCAAGGCUUCGAUCCGUAGCUGGUCUGAGAGGAUGGCCAGCCAGACUGGGACUGAGACACGGCCCAGACUCCUACGGGAGGCAGCAGUUAGGAAUUUUGCGCAAUGGAGGAAACUCUGACGCAGCCACGCCGCGUGAGGGAUGAAGGCCUUCGGGUCGUAAACCUCUUUUCUCAGGGAAGACACCCGACGGUACCUGAGGAAUAAGCAACGGCUAACUACGUGCCAGCAGCCGCGGUAAUACGUAGGUUGCGAGCGUUGUCCGGAUUUACUGGGCGUAAAGCGCGCGCAGGUGGUCCUGAAAGUCGAGCGUGAAAGCUCCCGGCCCAACUGGGAGAGGCCGUUCGAAACUUCAGGACUUGAAGGCGGGAGAGGCAAAUGGAAUUUCCGGUGUAGCGGUAAAAUGCGUAGAUACCGGAAGGAACACCAGUGGCGAAAGCGAUUUGCUGGCCCGCCCUUGACACUCAGGCGCGAAAGCUAGGGGAGCGACCGGGAUUAGAUACCCCGUUAGUCCUAGCCGUAAACAAUGGGCACUAGGUGUUGUCGGUAUCGACCCCGGCAGUGCCGGAGCUAACGCGUUAAACGUGCCGCCUGGGGAGUACGGUCGCAAGAUUAAAACUCAAAGGAAUUGACGG